GCCCAGUGUGGUGGCAUGUGCCUGUAGUCCCAGCUACUAGGGAGGCCGAGGCUGGAGGAUUGCUUGAGCCUAGGAGUUCUGGGCUGUAGUGUGCUAUGCUGAUCAGGUGUUAGCACAAAGUUUGGCUUCAAUAUGGUGACCUCCCGGGAGCAGGGGACCACCAGGUUGCCUAAGGAGGGGUGAACCGGCUCAGGCUGGAAAUGGAGCAGGUCAGAACUCCUGUGCUGAUCAGUAGUGGGAUUGUGCCUAUGAAUAACCACUGCACUCUAGCCUGGGCAAUAUAGUGAGACCCUGUCUCA
rnacentral:SRP_RNA from 1 species